UGGAGGACUGAGAAGGUAAGGCAGUUUCUCUACCAUGCUGCCUCUUACUGGUUAGAGCCUCCUACAUUAAAUCGCAAAAGCAUCUCACGUGCCUCCUGUGAAUUGGGAGGGACCUUACUGCAUUUGCACACAUCAU
rnacentral:snoRNA from 13 species